AACGAACGCUGGCGGCAGGCUUAACACAUGCAAGUCGAACGGGUGUAGCAAUACAUCAGUGGCAGACGGGUGAGUAACACGUGGGAACCUUCCUAGGGGUACGGAACAACUCAGGGAAACUUGAGCUAAUACCGUAUACGUCCGUGAGGAGAAAGAUUUAUCGCCCUUAGACGGGCCCGCGUCGGAGUAGCUAGCUGGGGGGGUAACGGCCUACCAAGGCGACGAUCCGUAGCUGAUCUUAGAGGAGGAUCAGCCACACUGGGACUGAGACACGGCCCAGACGCCUACGGGAGGCAGCAGUGGGGAAUCUUGGACAAUGGGCGCAAGCCUGAUCCAGCCAUGCCGCGUGAGUGAAGAAGGUCUUCGGAUUGUAAAGCUCUUUUGCCAGGGACGAUAAUGACGGUACCUGGAGAAUAAGCCCCGGCAAACUUCGUGCCAGCAGCCGCCGUAA
rnacentral:rRNA from 1 species